rnacentral:rRNA from 1 species
UACGUAGGGGGCAAGCGUUGUUCGGAUUCAUUGGGCGUAAAGGGCAUGUAGGCGGUUAUGCAAGUGUGGAUUUAAAGACAGAGGCUUAACCUUUAGUUUGGUCUGCAAACUGCAUAACUAGAGUACGGGAUGGGAAACUGGAAUUCCACGUGUAGGGGUGAAAUCUGUAGAGAUGUGGAAGAAUACCUGUGGCGAAAGCGAGUUUCUGGUCUGUAACUGACGCUGAUAUGCGAAAGUGUGGGGAGCAAACAGG